CAACCUUUCGGCAGGCUACCCUCGCCCUAGUGCACCGGUGGCUCGCGAUCCUCAUCGGUAGUCGGUCGACUUUGCUCUCCAACAGGUAUAUUUUAGUUAGGAGAAGAAAACAAAGUGUGUUUUAAUUUAUAUUCGUAUAGGGGAACGAGUGAGUAGAGGAGAGGAAAGUGCUCUUCGAUCGUCAGUCUGGCUCCCGCCGAAGUGAAGAACGUCUGAGAGUCCCCCCACCUUAAGUACCCUCUGGUCCUUAUAGAAUAGUUACCGAUGCGGCACACCCACCCAAUAGACAGGUACCGGUAGUCACCGAACCCAAAGGACCACGAAUGAACCUGGUGACAACAUGAAGAACCACCAAAGCACAGACUCGAUGUAUUCCUCCUGAAAACCACACGCCGCAAGUAGUGGGAACAUGUUUGUCGACCCAAUGAUGAGGAGAGAAUAAAUAAAGCAGGACGGUGAAUAUACAUGUAUAGACUGAGUUUUUCUACGUGUUGUCCUAAAAACUACAAUGAGACUUACUCUUUGAUCCGAUAUACCUCCUACGCGAGGAGCCCAAGAACCGCCGGUAAAGUAAACCGUAACAUGGGCUACUGCGCGGCUCGUUCUCAACGCGGGUUCUAAACAACAGAAAAGAAGAGAAGAAGAGCCAUUAAGAAAAUCACAACCAAGUUCAUUACCACAACCGGUAUUAUAACUCGGGAGAGCGUUAAUAUAUACACGAACCCUAUAAGUACAGGCCUCACUAGAGUACCACCGCAGACUAUCUCGUGCUAGUGCCCCCGUUGAGUCUACUUUUUCGUAGUUUGGAUCGUGGUCGUAACGUCUAGAACAUGAUGGAACGAGACGAGGUUCCGCACGAGAAGACGAUGUCCAAAGACAACUGAGAGUGCCUCUUCUUCAAAAGAUUCUGAGACCAGUGACUUCUGAGCUACCGGUGACUUCUGAGCCUUCAAGUUCGUCAUGAAAUGUUGAUGAACGCAUUUUGUUCCUCUCCUACACUCUUCCUGGGCUGUAAAUGGGUUCCUUCCUUGGAGCAGUGUGUACGACAUCUGUUCUAACCAAGGUUAAGUGGACAACUGACGUAAAGGCCCCAUUUCUAGGAUAUGCGUCGGUAUACGUACCACCUCUCUUUCUUACUAACCAGGUUACAGGUACCCGUCGCGUACGACUAUUUUGUAGAACAGAACAGAUGUAGUAGGAGAGCCGUACAUGACGGCUUUGACGAUCUCUACGAUCUAAGUUCUCCGGAUGUACUGUCUUUCCCAUCUUAAGUUCGGCGCUACUAUCACCUCGCUGAACGUAAGAUGUAAUUAAACCUCGUCAAAGGAGCCUCAUAAGUUGUGUAUAGAAGGAACUAGCCCUGCAAACUUGUUAUAUCAUAUCGGCUCGGUAUAGGGUCUAGUUCCCUACCUAUGCUCGUCGUAGACUUUGACGUCCAAUGAGCAGCCGCCGGGAGUGGUCGGCCGCUUGAACCCUUCCGGAUGUUCCUCAACAACGAUGUUCCGGACAGAUAGGAGGCCUUGGAACGGCGUCUGCUUUUGUUAACGUCUUAGUACUCGCUGUGGGCUCUAGACCAGACGUUCUAGUACCGUGGACAGUGAACGCUGGAUGAGCUGGUGUGGCGGCUACUAGUACCAUGUACCACGCUUCAUCAUCCGGCUAGCUACCUCCACUACUCGGUAAAUUCGCCACGAGUUCCUCUUUGACCCCGGUUCGAUGCGGCACUUUAGAGUUCAACGCGUCUUUGUUAGCCGUGUGAUGAUUCCUAAGAAUCGACAUUUUUAACGUUUCUUCUCAACGCCGUUUCUCGGUAAACCUAAGAGCGUGCUGAUAUGUACCUAUGGUUGCCUUAGUUGUCUAGUCGACCAAAAGUAGAAGAGUUUUUACUUUUAUCAACAACGCCUCUUCUGAAACAACCCUACGAUCAGUUGUAGAAGUGAGCCCUAUUACUCAUAUCGUCGAGGUAGUCUCCUAUGCGCCCUCUUCGCGACAGUUUAUAUACAAGGGAACCGCCUUAAUCACUACGGUGUUGAUAGUAUGUUUGUUCACCACUACAACAACUAUCAGAGUGAGUUCACGAAAAUGUACUUCUUUUGCUCUGCACGUCUGUUCGUAGUCGACUUUAGGAACUCGCAGAUACAUGGGUAAUGUGGUUCCUACUACUUAUGGAAGUGUUUGAAUUCUUUCGUUAGGAGUUCCACUAACCUUUUUAUGAAAGAACACCUCUGCCUUGUGUAUUACCUCUUCUGUAUCUCUCGGUUACACUACCGUGUGUUCUUUUGUUACUCGGCCUGUUCCUACGGGUCCCUAAGGUUCAUCUGUGUGAGAGUUGAUACAGUAGCUUGAACGAAAGUAGUAACAAUACGGAAACGCCCCGCCAGAUGUUGUGCGGCAACCAGCAACUAAACGGAGGAGUCGACCUACGUAGAUCGAAAGAUUUGUUAGAGUCCCUGUACCAUCACUUUUCUUCACCGGGGUGGCAGCUUUUGGACAGUCACACGUUCCGACGGCCAUUAUACCAGUAUAGUUACGACUUUAUGAUGUCACCGCCCAAGAAGUUUGUUCUUGUGAAACCCUCGAACUAUCUCCGUGAGAGAUCACGAAGACUCUUGUACGACCUAGAGCUGAUGAGGCACCAAACGAGAAGGCGGUCGUCGAGGCUUCGGUCUAGUUUCGAACUGUCCGCAUGGGAGCACAGGGAGCACUCUCUUCGGUUUCUUAACGUACGGUACCGUGGUAGAUGUAGAAACUCACCGACUAAACGGUAGUUCCAAAUCUACGAAAAAUAAGUAAGUGACCCAACCAACACAUUGCAUACUUCUAUAUGUAACAGUUAAAAUAAGUGACCACAAACUUCUAAUAUAUACGUAACGGUUUUUUCAACAGUAACAGGAACAGUACUCUUUUACUACACGUUCAUGAUAAGCAUAAAUACGAACACUAGUCGCUC
rnacentral:rRNA from 1 species